rnacentral:antisense_RNA from 2 species
UUUCAUGGCGGCUGUGCGUCGGAGACCUUAGGGUCUGCCGGUGUGCGCGAGUGAAGGCCGGUUCGUCAACCUUCGCACAGCUGCCACCCAA